rnacentral:rRNA from 1 species
UUUGACGUUAGCGACAGAAGAAGCACCGGCUAACUCCGUGCCAGCAGCCGCGGUAAUACGGAGGGUGCGAGCGUUAAUCGGAAUUACUGGGCGUAAAGCGCAUGCAGGUGGUUUGUUAAGUCAGAUGUGAAAGACCCGGGGCGUCAACCUCGGAAUUGCAUUUGAAACUGGCAGACUAGAGUACUGUAGAGGGGGGUAGGAAUUUCAGGUGUAGCGGUGAAAUGCGUAGAGAUCUGAAGGAAUACCGGUGGCGAAGGCGGCCCCCUCGGACAGAUACUGACACUCAGAUGCGAAAGCGUGGGGAGCAAACAGGAUUAGAUACCCUGGUAG